GGGAGCGGUGAUCCCUCUCCCCAAAGCUAUAUAAGGCGCGAGCGCCCAUCCACCCCAAGCGCCCAUAUGGCUCGAGCCGUCCGGUUGUCCCCCCGGACGGCUC
rfam:Bradyrhizobium sp. BTAi1, complete genome.